GAAAUGCGAUAAGUAAUGUGAAUUGCAGAAUUCAGUGAAUCAUCGAAUCUUUGAACGCACAUUGCGCCCUCUGGUAUUCCGGGGGGCAUGCCUGUCCGAGCGUCAUUGCGAACCCCUCAAGCACGGCUUGUGUGAUGGGCCCUCCCGCGUCUUGGUCGUUAAGACGGGCCCGAAAAGCAGUGGCGGCUUCGCGGUUAUCCGAUCAGCCAGAGCGUAUGGGGACUUUCUCUCUGUCACACGCCCGCGGCGCGGACCGACGCCUGUCGACCUUUAUUCAUCUUUUUCUCGGUUGACCUCGGAUCAGGUAGGGAUACCCGCUGAACUUAAGC
rnacentral:misc_RNA from 1 species